rnacentral:rRNA from 1 species
CACGGGGGGAGCAAGCGUUGUUCGGAAUUACUGGGCGUAAAGGGCGUGUAGGCGGUGAGGUAAGUGAGAUGUGAAAUGCUCCGGCUUACCCGGAGACCUGCAUCUCAUACUGCCUCGCUUGAGUACGGGAGAGGAUGUGGGAAUUCCUGGUGUAGCGGUGAAAUGCGUAGAUAUCAGGAGGAACACCGGUGGCGAAGGCGCACAUCUGGCCCGAUACUGACGCUGAGGCGCGAAAGCUAGGGGAGCAAACGGG